AGUGAAGGUUUUGGCUGGAAGCGUUGCACGUAGAGCUGGUGGCGCUGAGGUGGCGGGGGCGGCGGCGCUACCUGCUCCGGGGCGCUCAUCCUCAAGGCUCCCCUCCCAGCCUCUCCUGAGCCCUCCGGGGCCUGCGCCGGACGGCGCCUGCCCUGUGAGCGGUUGUCAUCCACCCGGAGCUCCCAGAACACUCGCGGGUCCCCGCCGAGUUAAGCUUCAGCGUUAGAAGGGUGUGUGAGCCUUUUACAAACUGGGAAACUGAAGUCCUGGGAUUAAGCGCCUUGCCCAGGAUCAUCUGUCAGAUGGAAUUCUACUCAGGGAGCUGGACUUGAGAGUCUGAGCACUUCAUUCCCAGUCACACAGCCUCCUCAGGGGGAAUGCAGUCGGAGAAAUGUCUGAAGAGGAGAUCCAAAAGAAGACACUAGCUUCAGCUGUAGCCUGUUUAGAAGGGAAGUCACCAGGGGAGAAAGCAGCAAUCAUACAUCAGCAUCUUGGUCGUCGAGAAAUGACAGAUGUGAUCAUUGAGACCAUGAAGGCCAACCCAGUUUCUGAAAGAUGAGCUGAAAGCUGCAAUGAAAGAAAGUCUUCAGAAGCAUCCCCCAUUGCACCGAGAAGUAAAGGUCAAAGUAAAGAAGGUGUAAACGCUGCUCCCGAUUCUCCAUCCAGGCAGCUUCCAGACCAGAUUUCCUUCUUCAGUGGAAACCUCUCAGUUGAAACCGUUCACAGUAUUAUGCAUCUAUUCAAGACAAGAACCUUUGGAUUUAUUUAAUAUGUGGCCACAUAGGAUGUGGACGAUAUGUGAGUCAACAUGCCUAUAAGCACUUAGAGGAGACUGGCACACGUAUGCCAUGCAGCCCACCAACCAUCGAGUCUGGGACUACGCUGGAGGCGAACACCACUCUCAUUUUCUAAUUUGGAUUCAUUAUGUCUGAAAACAUCUCCCUCAGAACUUUCUCUCAGCCUUCUCACAGCUUGGAAUCUUCCUGACAGCUGUUGCAAACUCCAGUUCUCAUGCAUUACACAGGAUAAAGAGAGUUAAUGCUACACUCCUGCCCGCUCAUUUUUUUUUAAUCCAAAUGAUUUAAACCACUUUUUAAAGAAAUAUUGCAUGGCAUUUAAUUUGGAUCUGUAAAAACAAAAAUUUUGUUCAAGUUAAAGGCGUAAUUAUGGAGACUUCAUUCUGAAGAAACAUACCUUGGUUGACCCAUUCUUUUCUUUAGAUAAUUAUUUCUGUCGACUGGUUUCAAGUAAAACAGAUAGAAAAAUAGUACAGUAUGAACGUGAGGGUGACACUUGGCAGGAGGAGAAAAUAGAUGCCUUACAGUUAGAGGUUUCCCUGAGCCUCAUUGCUCUCAGUGUCACCUCAGUGGUCUCAAGCUCAGCACUAGGGCCGUCCUCUGCAGCUGCGAUAAGACUGGGGAUACGAGUCUUCAAGUUCAAGCUCAGCACUAGGGCCGUCCUCUGUAGCUGUGAUAAGACUGGGGAUACGAGUCUUCAAGUUAAAGCUCAGCACUAGGGCCGUCCUCUGCAGCUGUGAUAAGACUGGGGAUACGAGUCUUCAAGUUCAAGCUCAGCACUAGGGCCGUCCUCUGUAGCUGUGAUAAGACUGGGGAUACGAGUCUUCAAGUUCAAGCUCAGCACUAGGGCCGUCCUCUGCAGCUGCGGUAAGACUGGGGAUACGAGUCUUCAAGUUCAAGCUCAGCACUAGGGCCGUCCUCUGCAGCUGCGAUAAGACUGGGGAUACGAGUCUUCAAGUUCAAGCUCAGCACUAGGGCCGUCCUCUGCAGCUGCGGUAAGACUGGGGAUACGAGUCUUCAAGUUCAAGCUCAGCACUAGGGCCGUCCUCUGCAGCUGCGAUAAGACUGGGGAUACGAGUCUUCAAGUUCAAGCUCAGCACUAGGGCCGUCCUCUGCAGCUGCGGUAAGACUGGGGAUACGAGUCUUCCUGUUGGCACCACAGUGGCAGUUGGAAAUUGAGCAGCCUUGGUCAGGAUGGGGAAUCUCCGAAGCACCUUUCCAUGCCGAGAAGCUUUUUCACAUAUAUUGGGCUGGAGUUUAUGAACUGGACCCUUAUACAGAUGAAGUCAUUUGGGGGUAUUCAUAUAAUUAAACAACAAAAUUAGCACAGUCUGAUUUUUCUCACUGAAGUAAUUCCCAUCUACUAUAAAAUUGAUGUGUAAAUUUUAUGUUAAGGGAGGAAUAGUUUAACAUGAGGCCUAUUUUAUAUAAAUUUCAGAGUGAUGAUUUUAAUAAAUACCUUAACCAUA